rnacentral:rRNA from 1 species
GUGGGGAAUAUUGGACAAUGGGCGAAAGCCUGAUCCAGCCAUGCCGCGUGUGUGAAGAAGGUCUUCGGAUUGUAAAGCACUUUAAGUUGGGAGGAAGGGCAGUAAGUUAAUACCUUGCUGUUUUGACGUUACCGACAGAAUAAGCACCGGCUAACUUCGUGCCAGCAGCCGCGGUAAUACGACGGGUGCAAGCGUUAAUCGGAAUUACUGGGCGUAAAGCGCGCGUAGGUGGUUUUGUAAGUUGGAGGUGAAUCCCCGGGCUCAACCUGGGAACUGCCUCCAAAACUGCAUGACUAGAGUACGGUAGAGGGUAGUGGAAUUUCCUGUGUAGCGGUGAAAUGCGUAGAUAUAGGAAGGAACACCAGUGGCGAAGGCGACUACCUGGACUGAUACUGACACUGAGGUACGAAAGCGUGGGGAGCAAACAGGAUUAGAAACCCUAGUAGUCC